rnacentral:tRNA from 1 species
CGGAGUGUAGCGCAGCCUGGUAGCGCACCUGCUUCGGGAGCAGGGGGCCGGAGGUUCGAAUCCUCUCACUCCGACCA